GUCUUGGUGGCCGAGUUGUUAAAGCGUAUGACUAGAAAUCAAAUGGGCUAUGCCCGCACAGGUUCGAAUCCUGUCCACGACG
rnacentral:tRNA from 1 species